rnacentral:rRNA from 1 species
UAGGGAAUCUUCCGCAAUGGGCGAAAGCCUGACGGAGCAACGCCGCGUGAGUGAAGAAGGAUUUCGGUUCGUAAAGCUCUGUUGUUAGGGAAGAAUGAUUGUAUAGUAACUAUAUACAGUAGAGACGGUACCUAACCAGAAAGCCACGGCUAACUACGUGCCAGCAGCCGCGGUAAUACGUAGGUGGCAAGCGUUGUCCGGAAUUAUUGGGCGUAAAGCGCGCGCAGGUGGUUUAAUAAGUCUGAUGUGAAAGCCCACGGCUCAACCGUGGAGGGUCAUUGGAAACUGUUAAACUUGAGUGCAGGAGAGAAAAGUGGAAUUCCUAGUGUAGCGGUGAAAUGCGUAGAGAUUAGGAGGAACACCGGUGGCGAAGGCGGCUUUUUGGCCUGUAACUGACACUGAGGCGCGAAAGCGUGGGGAGCAAACAGGAUUAGAUACCCUGGUAGUCCACGCCGUAAACGAUGAGUGCUAAGUGUUGGUCUCAUAAGAGAUCAGUGCUGCAGCUAACGCAUUAAGCACUCCGCCUGGGGAGUACGACCGCAAGGUUG